AGGAAGAGCAUGUCUACAUUCUUUAGAAUUUCUCCUUUUGUGUUCUACGGAAGAAAGAAAGUCAUUUGGGUUUGGAAUAACAUGAGGCAUCUGUUCACACCCGGCGCAGCUGUCUCACACAAUAACCCCAGUGCGUGGGUGCAUGUUUACUGAGAAGAAGACAAAGACGGUAACAGUUGCUGGUUUAUACUUCUGGAAACUGGCGCCUUGUGGCAUCCUAAAAUUAGGGUGUGGACUCAUUGUUUUUGGGGGUCU